CCUGUUCCACCUGUUGGGACUUCUUUUGUGUGUGUGUGUGUGUGUGUGUGUGAGUGUGAGUGUGGGUGUGCACGUUUUCAUGGCAGUGCGCUAAUGUUCAUCACAAACUCCAGAAUGAAAGUAAAGAAAUGUGGGAUUUGAGGGAUCACGUGUCUUGGAUGUACAUCGUUGCACACAUUGAGCAGCUACAUGCGGUGACGAUAAAGAAAAGUCAAAGCACAGAUGAUCAAGAGAGACUCUCGGGGGAGGAAUCAAGGGCAGGACUCCUUUUAUAACUCAGAGGCAGCCAAACUCUACGAGAGCUAUCCAAUCAAGGCUUAGAUCUGGAGAAACAAGACCACGACACAACAUUUAGCCUCCUUUUCACUGGAGGAAACAACAACACCGCAAACUGCAACCAACAUCUGGCUGUAUUGGUCUUUAAGGGGAUGGUCACAAUUUUUUUUUCUUUACUCUACCAGGGUUGGCUUGCACCAUCAUUUUGGAAAAGCACUGUUCACAUAUUACAUUACAUUACAUGUCAUUUGGCUGACGCUUUUAUCCAAAGCGACUUACAGUAGUUACAUUCAUUCAAUGUAGACGCAGCUACAGGGAGCAAUUCAGGGAUACGUGUCUUGCUCAAGAACACAUCGACUAGGGCGGGGAUUGAACCUCCAACCACCUGAUGGAAAGACGGACCUGCUACCCACUCACCAAUAGUCGCCCAUACCCACUGAAACACCAAAAAUGAGAUUUAGAUCCACUGCUGCCUUGAAAAAAAGACCUGUUUUGGGUUGGGAGAGAAACUUUAGCCUGGCCAGAAGGUUAAAGUGGAGAGAAAAAGAUGUACUAAUUCAACUGGAUGAUUUACUAUGUCCUGAUGCAGACAUGCAUGCAUGUCAGACGGAAAGAAGAAACCUAUCAGGAGGUUACAGACCGCACAAAGGUGGCAAGUGAAACCAUUGGCAUGUAAUGACAUUCAAACUAGUUGCAACCAGUCGUAACCAGUUGUAUUUCUGGAACAUCGACUUUUCACAAAUUCAAAUGCUUUCCCUUUGAAUCCGACGAGACUCGGUUUUACUUCACCAUUUUUUGAUGGCGUAACCUUUUGUAACAAUGAAAACGUUAACAUGGACGAAUAUGCUCUCUGUAAUGCCGAUAUAUUGAAAAGGUUUCCAUGAACUGCUUUGAUUGCAAGAAAUAGUCCCCAUCAAAUCUGGUAAGAGAUAGGUCCAUACAGCUCUUCUGUAUUAGUGCUCCUCCUUAUUAGUCUUCUUUGUCCUUUUCCAGGCUGAAGGACUUAUUUCCAAGAACCGUGAGCCCUUCUGUGGUAAACACACCAUUAAUAGUGGUGCUUUUGCACAAUUCUUUGUGGAGCAACUAAUAGAUUAGUCUUCAAAAUCACACAAGUAUUUGAUGACAAAGGCAUUUUAUGAGUCAAGGACGACCCUGUACUACAGACUGCCACUUUUAUGUGUGCUAGGUAUAAUCUUUGGCCCCUUUGGCGAGAAAGCUGAUGUGACCAAAACGGUGAAACAUCUUCAGAAACACCUCAUAAAGCUAAAUAUAAUAAUUGUUUUUUUCACUUAAGGAUGACAAGUCACAUGAUCUUAUCAGCAGGUAAGAUGGCCAACUUGGUUUCACCAAUCACCAAUCUUCUCUGAGGAUAUGUCAAGUUGUUCUGGUUCACGUUUGAGAUUGAAAAUGGACUUUGUGCCGAGAUUAUCGCGUCAACUGUUGAUACUAAACUGUUCUCUAUUCUCUUCUACGAAAGGUCAGGAAACACAAGACGCCUCGUCAAAAAACUCUGGGACCCGACACCUCUGCGAGUUGCCCAACUUUGACCCAUAAAUAGCCGUUUAUAUGGUUCGCUGUUUGAAGAAAAUGUCUGACAAUGGAACCGGCAGAUGAGUGCCCUGAAAGCCAGGAGACAGACAGGAGAGCAAAUAAUUACCUUUCCCAGGUGUGCUUUGCCCUCUCCUUCAAGGAACCAGACACCGAGGACGUGUACCUGUAUCCCCGUCGUCAUCAAGGGAAACCCAAGCAGCUGCUGUUGAAAGGGCAGGUUGACUUCGUGGACUCAUCUCCAGAGAGCGGAGGCCUUCUUCUGUUUGUUUUUCUCAGAAGGGCUUACGUUACCAUCUUAAUUUGUCAUAAAUUGUCGCCAACGAUGUGAUUUAGAGUAUAACACUGACAAGGCUAAGUCCUCACUGCUGUGUAAACUCCCUGCCCCCCCAUCCCCCUCAGAGGUCGUCUUUGUAUGUUUUGCACGGGGCUGAGCUGACAACACAUUUGUCUUUCGUCCUUUUCAAAUCGUUUCGACAAAAUUUUUUUCACCCCCCUAAUUUGUCACCAUACUUGCUCACUGACUUGCUCACUCUCCCCCCCACCCGCUCUCCAUUCACAUGACGAGGGCUAAUGGGGAUCCACUUCAGAUAACUGCUGUUUGACCAGGUCUGUCUCCGACCUGUAAUCGUCUGUUUCAACAAGCGGAGCACCGAGAGCAAACUGGACCGAGGAGGCGAUAUGUGCUCCAAUCACACGGCUGCACACGCGCUCGCAGACCAGACAUGUUUUAUUAUUUUACCUCUUUUCUUAUAUGGCUUUCUGUUAAUCGGCACAUUUUUCCCUGACUGAGAUUUGAUGGUGUCAAAAGGAAUAAGUUAUGUAAAUGCUGAUGGAGUGUUUUUUCAGUUUCUGGGUAAUUCGCUGGUUUCAGCCCCAAUAGUGCUCACUUCAAGAAAAAGAAAAAAGAGGGGGGAAAAGCAUUACAAAAAUAUUAAAUACAAUGCAAACAAAAUAAGUAAUUUAAAUAAUCCUCAUUCAGUUUUAAUAUAAUAUACCAAAUGUAUAUACCAAUAAUUCAUCUCAAAGUGGAGCCUAAUAAUUCCAUUUCACAGGUUAAUUGUGUAUCUCUGUGAGCAGUUCAGGUGGUGGAGUUCAUUCCAUUAACCGAUUGGUUGGUGUUAAAAUCCCUGACUUGGUAUAUGCAAAAUAAAAUCAACUCAGCAUCGACUUUGGUCAGAAAUGUUAAUUACCCCCCCCCCCCCCAAUUUGGUGACAGAAAACUCUAAAUGUAAAAGUCAUUAGUAAUUUGAGGUAUUCCUGCUUUGUGUUGUAAACCAUAGAUUGAUGAUGGAUGGAGGUCUAGAAGUGAAUGGAAGUAUCACACAAGUAUAAAUAGUUGUCCUUCCUCAAAGAAAGAGGCCGGUGGGCUGAUGUUUGUUCUAUACAAAGGUUUACUGUUCCUUUUUAAUGUUUUCACUGUUUCUUUUCUAUAUGAUACAUUUUAUCUAUACAUUUAAAUGUUGAUUAAAAUGUCAUUAUAAAAGCCUAAACUGAGCCCACA